GUUGGUUGAAAAUCACCCUCGGCGCUGGCGGUGGCCGUGGGUGAGAUUCGGCGCCCAGAGCCUCCAGGGGCCUCAGCUCGCCGCCCACUACCAGUGUGGGAAGGCGAAACCCAGGCCCCGACAUCC
rnacentral:snoRNA from 17 species